rnacentral:rRNA from 1 species
UGGCGGACGGGUGAGUAACGCGUGAGAAUCUGCCCUUAGGAGGGGGACAACAGUUGGAAACGACUGCUAAUACCCCAUAUGCCGGGAGGUGAAAAGGUUAAAUCCGCCUAAGGAGGAGUUCGCGUCUGAUUAGCUAGUUGGUGGGGUAAGAGCCUACCAAGGCGACGAUCAGUAGCUGGUCUGAGAGGAUGAUCAGCCACACUGGGACUGAGACACGGCCCAGACUCCUACGGGAGGCAGCAGUGGGGAAUUUUCCGCAAUGGGCGCAAGCCUGACGGAGCAACGCCGCGUGCGGGAGGAAUGCCUGUGGGUUGUAAACCGCUUUUAUCAGGGAAGAAGGUCUGACGGUACCUGAUGAAUCAGCAUCGGCUAACUCCGUGCCAGCAGCCGCGGUAAG